UACGUAGGGGGCAAGCGUUGUCCGGAUUUAUUGGGCGUAAAGAGCGUGUAGGCGGCCUGAAAGGUCAGCUGUGAAAACUCGAGGCUCAACCUCGAGACGUCGGUUGAAACCAUCUGGCUAGAGUCCGGAAGAGGAGUGUAGAAUUCCCGGUGUAGCGGUGAAAUGCGCAGAUAUCGGGAAGAACACCCGUGGCGAAGGCGGCACUCUGGGACGGUACUGACGCUGAGACGCGAAAGCGUGGGGAGCGAACAGG
rnacentral:rRNA from 1 species